rnacentral:rRNA from 1 species
AUUGAACGCUGGCGGAAUGCUUUACACAUGCAAGUCGAACGGCAGCACGGACUUCGGUCUGGUGGCGAGUGGCGAACGGGUGAGUAAUGUAUCGGAACGUGCCCAGUCGUGGGGGAUAACGUAGUGAAAAUUACGCUAAUACCGCAUACGAUCUAUGGAUGAAAGCGGGGGACCGUAAGGCCUCGCGCGAUUGGAGCGGCCGAUAUCAGAUUAGGUAGUUGGUGGGGUAAAGGCUCACCAAGCCGACGAUCUGUAGCCGGUCUGAGAGGACGACCAGCCACACUGGAACUGAGACACGGUCCAGACUCAUACGGGAGGCAGCAGUGGGGAAUUGUGGACAAUGGGCGCAAGCCUGAUCCAGCCAUUCCGCGUGCAGGAUGAAGGCCCUCGGGUUGUAAACUGCUUUUGUACGGAACGAAAAGGUCCUGGUUAAUACCUGGGGCUCAUGACGGUACCGUAAGAAUAAGCACCGGCUAACUACGUGCCAGCCGCCGCAGUAA